rnacentral:lncRNA from 1 species
ACUCUCACGUCAGCCCAGUCUAGGGGUUUGGAGUCAACGGCUUUUUCACAGUGUGACUUUGGGCAGAGAACGCAACCUCUCUGAGCUCAGUUUUCACUUGCAAAAUGGGUGUAACAACAUCUUCCCCUAGAGAUUACGUGUUCAGUUAGAGGACACAUGAAAGCGUUCCAGAGUGUUCCUCUCGCGCCUCUGUCUUUCUCUCUGUUCUCAGCUUCUCUCACCUUCCUCAGAAGUCCCCAGACUGAAGUGAGCUUUAUUUACAUUUCAGAAGAAACACCAGACUCUGGGUCUAGAUAUCAUCUCUUCCCAGUUUCCCAGGAGCGUAGCCUGGGGUCCUCCUGUCUGGCAGCCUCUGCGCCCUGGCUGUGUGGCUGAGCUGCCUCUCCCUACCCUCUCUCCCUUCCUCCUCUUCACCUCUGCCCUCUCCGUCUCUCCCCGGCUCUCCCAGGCCUCAGCCCUCUGCUGCUGUUUGCCAGUUUCCUCCUGGUUUCCAGCACACAUCGUCGUUGCUACUUUUGAUUACAUUCCCAGUCUCUUUUCAAGUUUAUUUCCCUUAGGUCUUCUGACUUGCUUGGAGCCAGGAGGGAGCAGAAGUGGCUUGAACCUCUGGGGAAGGCUGCUGACAGCAAUGGGGCUUUGGGGCAGAGACACAAGACGGGGAGCGGGCUUCACCAGACCCUCCGUGAAUAUCUUGGAGAUGAGAAGUCUGAGCAACUGCUUCCCUCACCAUACUACAGAAUGACUUUUCCAGGGACUCUGGUGUCCGCCACCUACUGCAGAAUGUACUCUUCCAUCAGCAAGGUCUAUGACAACAUCAAGGUGGCAGUGGGGCCCAGCUUCUUCCUUGUGAAUUCCACUGAAUCUGUUAAACAGAUUCAGAUCUGUAGUUUCUUGAUCUGCUGCCUACAUUGUCUUGAUCUAUUUGCAUAUAUUAUCUGUCUUGCAACACCUUUUUGAGGCGGGUGUUAUUAUUAUUCCCAUUUUAUAGGUAUAGAAACUGAAGCUCCUAGGGUCACGUGGAUAGUAAGGGGUGAGGCCAGAACUCGAACUCAAGGUAACAGUGUGGUAUAACAUAUAAGAGUGUGAGCUGCAAAGACAGGCUGGUGCCGGUUUCAAAUCCUGACUCUUUCACUUAUUAGCGGGGUGAUUUUGGCAAAGAUAGAGACUCCCAGGUGGCUGAGGUGGGGCCUCUCCAGGGCCCAAGAUCUGCUAUGAGACUUAUACGUUUAGACGCUUCAUGUUCUCAGUGUCCCCAAAGCUCUCAAGGGGACUUACACCAACAAAAGUCCCCAGAGGAGUGCAUCCAUGUGGCUAAUUUCUGGCCAGUGAAAAUUAAGUGUAAGUGAUACACUGAACUUCUAGAGAGUUAGUUUGUUUGUUUAUUUAUUUAUUUAUUUAUUUAUAAUUUUUGAGAUGGAGUCUCACUCUGUUGCCCAGGCUGGAAUGCAGUGGUGUGAUCUCAGCUCAUUGCAA